GAUAACAUUAAAUAAUCACAUGUAAUUAUACGUGAAAUGUUAUAUUAUACAUAGAACUAUAUACAAUCAUACACAGUAUAUAAAAAGUUUCAAAACGGUAACAUAUCUCGAAAACUAUAAGUUUUAUAAAAAAAUGUUUGAAAUAAAAGUUUUGAGGUUUAAAAAGAUCUAUUCAUUGGCUUUAUCAAUUUGACCUUAAAUGAUGUCGCCGAGGUCAGAACAAGGUCGUCUGGAAUGUUUUAAGCAGAACCCUCUAUCUUUUAUUACGUAUUCCUAUGGUCCUUGUUGAGAUUUUAAAACCGUUAAAACUUUAUUCACUUUGGGUCAGCCAUUUCUAAGUUAUCGAGUAUUUUAUAGUAAGAUGUCGAUGAUUUUAGACCAUUCAAACACAAAACCUAUUUAUUUUUUUGCUCUAUGUCUUACAUGUUUUAUUUAACAGAUCAUAAUCUACAACAUAUAAGAAAAUCUGCUGAUUUAACCAAAACUCAAAUUUACAUAAAAUUAGUGCGGAGUCCUUUGACUAGGAUAUUAUGAUCAGAGGGAAGGCAUGACGAAGGGAAUUUUUUUCUGAAGUCAAGGACUAAAUCAUUUUCUGAAGGAGAGAGGUCGGCGAUAAAGAAAGAAUCUACUAAUAAACUGAAAUGUGACAGGUGAUGAAACAGAGAUUCUUCGUCGUCUUCUGACAAAAUCUCGGAUUCGGAUGAUUUGAAGGAAAGUGGAGGAAAAUGGUGACAAGGAGGAGUAGAAGGAUCAUCAAGGUCAGGAAUUUCUUCAGAAGUUACGGAGAAAUAUGGCAGGAAUUCUAAAUACUGGGGAGAAGGAGACGGAGGACAAGUAGAGGGCGACUAAGCCCGAUGAAUGGAUGCGUGUGCCUGUGUGUUUUGUGUAUGCGCGUGGUAGCUAUUUUUAGUAAGGGACGAGGGUGUCGGCUCCGGUUGUCCGCAGCAGCCGUUCCAACGACCAACAAUUGUGGAAGGCUUGCUAGAUUCAAAUCAGCCAGCAGUCAUUUUAAACAAUUUCAAGUCGCGAAGGGCUUACUAAUUACGAGAGAAAUUGAGAAGUUUACUUGCAUUCAAAUUUUCUAUUAUGUCUUUGAAUAUUAUUUGCUUAUAAAUGCGCUUAUCGAUUAUUAAAUGUUGGAACCUCCGGAUUUUUGAAGUGAAUAUUUUAUUGUUUCACUUACUACUUGUCUUUCGUCCGCUUUAAGGGCGUUCUCCGAAUUAUUGAUUUUCCUAGGAUUUUCUUUAAAUUUGCGAUAUACAUAGUUUAUGAUCUUAUUUCUACGUAGCCUUUUUGGAUAAUAAAGGUAGCAAUGUUAAAUUCAAAAAUAUGGAAGAUUUAAGUUUCAAUUUUUAACAUGGAUUUCCUAUGCUGAGCCUUUGUGAAAUGGGGUUUUUUAAAGUUACUGACGACAAUUUUUGUAGGAUUUUUUUAAAAAA